CCAGGAUCAACCUCCAGCAUCACAUCCGGUGGACUGGGAGAUGCUUGUCUCUUCUUGUCCUGAGGCUUCCGAAGACGCCUUCGGUGGUGAGCUGCUAAAUGUUUCCGGUGGCCGAGCCCCAACGUGAGCAGGUCCUGUGGGAAGAGAAAGGCUCGUGGAUCUUGGAAGACUGGAAGCAUGGUUUACAGAAGGGUCUGGAAGGAGACGAAAUUAUGCAGGUAUGAUGGUACAUACAGCAACGUCCAGCUCCCUAGGAGCACCCAGGGGAUGACUGAGGGGCUCUGAGGAGAGUCCAUGACCAAGAGUUGGGGACAGAGCCAUCGCUGUGGACUCGGGGCCAGUCAGUCAGCGUCUCUUUCUCGGCCAGGCCCCCAUGCUUCUUCCUCAGCAGGAGAUUUCCAAGCCGGAGGCUACUGAGAGGCCCAGGGGCCGGCCUGGCUCCACCCCUUCCAGCAGGAACCUGGACCCAAGAAACCUGAUGCCCUGCUGAGGUACAGAGAUACUUAACUCCUUCCUCCCCAUCAGGAGAACCUAACCUUCCCAAAUAACCACACACACACACACACACACACACACACACACACACACACUGCCGCCAUCCCUUUGACACAGAAAACUCCACCCAUCCCCUCAAUCCCAGCAUCUUGUCACCUUCAGGGACCCAUGUAUCUGACCACUGGGGCCCAUCCCUUUGUCUAAGCACCUGGUAACUCAAGCCUGUCUGUCAUUUCAGGCUAGAGAGUCUCAUGUUCAAAGCCAGCCUGGGCAACUUGUGGAAACCCUGU